rnacentral:rRNA from 1 species
GACGUAGGGCGCGAGCGUUGUCCGGAUUUAUUGGGCGUAAAGAGCUCGUAGGCGGCUUGUUGCGUCAGCUGUGAAAACCCGCAGCUCAACUGUGGGCUUGCAGCUGAUACGGGCAGGCUUGAGUUCGGUAGGGGAGACUGGAAUUCCUGGUGUAGCGGUGGAAUGCGCAGAUAUCAGGAAGAACACCCGUGGCGAAGGCGGCUCUCUGGAACGCAACUGACGCUGAGACGCGAAAGCGUGGGGAGCAAACAGG